AUCUGUAUGAAAUAAAUACAGAAUACUAAACGAUGUCCCGUGUAAUACCAUAUUUAUGAAACGAGCGAAUGGUUUGGUAUGUAAC